rnacentral:rRNA from 1 species
CAAUAGCGUAUACUAAUGUUGUUGCAGUUAAAAAGCUCGUAGUUGAACUUCUGGUAGGAGUGUCCCGGCCUUUUUGUUUUUACAAAUUGUAUGCUGUGUGACAUCUCUGGCCAUCCUUCUUCUUUGUUUAAAGAAGAUCUUUCACUGUAAAAAAAUUAGGGUGUUCAAAGCAAAAGUUUCUUUGGAAUAUAUUAGUAUGGGAUGAUAAGAUAGGCUCUAGAUGCUAUUUUGUUGGUUUGCACAUUUAGAGAAUGAUUAACAGGGACAGUUGGGGGUAUUCGUAUUCACAUGUCAGAGGUGAAAUUCUUGGAUUUUGGAAAGACGAACUACUGCGAAAGCAUUUACCAAGGAUGUUUUCAUUAA